GACGAACGCUGGCGGCGUGCUUAACACAUGCAAGUCGAACGGAAAGGCCCUGCUUUUUUGGGGUGCUCGAGUGGCGAACGGGUGAGUAACACGUGAGUAACCUGCCCUUGACUUUGGGAUAACUUCAUGACACUUGGGCUAAUACCGGAUAGGAGCUCCUGCUGCAUGGUGGGGGUUGGAAAGUUUCGGCGGUUGGGGAUGGACUCGCGGCUUAUCAGCUUGUUGGUGGGGUAGUGGCUUACCAAGGCUUUGACGGGUAGCCGGCCUGAGAGGGUGACCGGCCACAUUGGGACUGGGAUGCGGCACAGACUCGUACGGGAGGCAGCAGUGGAGAAUAUUGCACAAUGGGCGGAAGCAUGAUGCAGCAACGCCGCGUGCGGGAUGACGGCCUUCGGGUUGUAAACCGAUUUCGCCUGUGACGAAGCGUGAGUGACGGUAAUGGGUAAAGAAGCACCGGCUAACUACGUG
rnacentral:rRNA from 1 species